AAGUGCCAUCGAUUUCGUCCGAGUCGUUAACACGUUGAGUGCUGCGAGCCUCUAAUAUUGUUUGUUGAACCUGUAUUCGCUCGUGUCGACUCGUCGUUUCUCAUUUUAGGAUGCUAUUUUAAAUUUAUUCUCGAGAUGAUGCUUGAGAUAGGAGACAAAUAUUAACAGAGGAUGUUAAUGCAUUUGGAGCUUGUUAUUCUUCGUUUUGGAAUUAUGGUUUUACUCUUAAAACUUGUACUAUAGGUAUAACAUCUUGAUUGAUACAAUUUGGUAAACUUGCUGCUAUAUUCUGACAAUGGAAUUUGUGAUAUAUUGAACUUGUAACUCUCACGAAAAUUAACUCUGAAGAACACGUGAACUUUCCGUAAAAUUUUGACGUCAAAAAUGAAACAACCCGUGAAGUUGUUUUCGUUUUUAUGGAUCAACAACUCCGUUAAUCAAUUUCGAGGGAAGAAGAUAGACGAGGCGUUGAACAUCCACAUCUUUCCAUAAAAGCACGAUUGACGUCACCAGCGAAGUUAUGUUACAACUUAAAACCAUCAACGCAAGGUUUUUUCGACUGGUCAAUAUUUCCACACAUUGAAGAGCAGCGUGGAUGAUAAACCGUCGUUACCAGAAGAGGAACGCCUCCGCGUUGGACCGUCGAAGAUUCAAAAUUAGUCCGAGUUACAACGAAACAGACGGCGAAUUGCCAACGGGAUCGAAGCGAUAUUACUUUUUUUCCUGCUCUCUUCCAUUCGUGAUUGUUUUAUAAAAUGGCUUGCAAGCCGGUUGCCAGACAAGGAUAAUAACCUGGAGAAAUUGUAGCAGACAACCAAGUUCUCGCGUCUAACUUCUGGCCGACAGCAGUCGGGUAUAAUAGCGAACGAAAAAGGUCUCAUAUUUCUGUCCAAAGUGAAAUCGAAUAUGAUAGCUUGCAAAAGUGUUUGAAUAUUAAUACUAUGACUCUUCCAUUCGCUGCAUAUGGCCAUCUUAUUGCAAAUUACUUUAUUUAAAUACUAGUUACAUUAGAAAUGAUAGACUAGUAUCAGGUGUUUCGGCACGGAGGGUCGGAAGUCCGCGGUCCCAGCGUUCAAGAUCCUCGCGGUGAACCGAAGCAACCUCCUAGUCUCCAGGUGGGCCGUACGCAUCAACUCGAUAUGAUCAAACACCAAAUCUGGCAUCUCCUGGAGACACACCACACUGGCCACAUUUUCU